CUUAAAUAUACUUAAAAUAAAACAGAACAACAAAUUUUUCGUAAACAAAAUUUAAUACAACCAUAUAGUCAAGUAAUAAUGGUUAAAAGACAUUUUAUUAGAUACAACUUUUAAAAAAUUAAACUAUGCAAGAAGUAUAUUUAAACAAAACAUGUAAGUAAGUAUUCACGUGCUACAACUUAACUAAGAACAAUUAAAUACAAAGCAUUCUUUCCACUAUGAAGACUCUGGAGCCUCUAAUUGAAAGCAAAUGACCUUAGGUCUAUACUAGUUGUAAAGCAGAUUAUACUUUUGUUCAACUCUAAAUUUGUAUUGUCUUAGAGCUCCAACAACUCUCAAUAAAAAUUUAAAUAAAGAAACCUUGGGGGAGGGGUGAUAGGGAAGGGGAGAGUAAGUGCUUUUUCAAAAAGGUAAAUGAAAAAGCCUGAAGAGGGAAAAAAUUGUACAUAAGUAUGGAACAAAAAUAAGUAUACUUUUUUGACAUUCGAUGUAGAUACUGCAAAUGAAUUUACACGGGUUUAAUCAAUGUAAGAUAGAUAUUUGUCUGAAAAUUCUAAUAAGGCCAAAACUCUGUUGAGGUUAACUGGUGUCUUGAGUUUACUAAAAUAAAGGCAGUCCAUAGGAAGCCUCAAAGAGACAUUAUCUUACCACUUGGCACCACAAAAACACCAAGCUCUCCUCUCUGAAAAUACAGGCCGGGGGUGGUGGCUCACGCCUGUAAUCCCAGCACUUUGGGAGGCCGAGGUGGGCGGAUCACGUGGUCAGGAGUGAUCCGUCUCUACUAAACCCCGUCUCUACUAAAAAUACAAAAAAAUUAGCCGGGUGUGGUGGCACGCACCUGUGGUCUCAGCUACUCGGGAGGCUGAGGCAGAAUCCCUUGAACCCGGGAGGUGGAGGUUGCAGUCAGCUGAGAUCGCGCCACUGCACUCCAGCCUGGGCGACAGAGCAAGACCCCGUUCUCCCCCCUUCCCCAAAAAAAAAAAAAAACGAAAAAAAUACAGUUUGAAGUAGAUGUCGUCUUUUCCACAUAUAAAUCUCAAGACAUAAAAGGCACACACAAUUCAACUCCUCUCUUUUCAUAUAUGGGUUCUCACAGCAAUUUAAAAAAUCUAUUGCCAUAUCCAGACAACAGGAGAAAAAAAAAAUACCUGGUUUGCUUAUUGACAAAAGUGGUGUAAUUGAACCUUUGUCUUUCCUGAGUUUCAAAAAGGCUAUUUGACAGUAGAGAUACAUAAACAAUUCAUAUUCAGUAAGAUAAAAUGUAUCAGUCCACAAAACAUUUUCAUCUUUUUAAGUAUAAAAGAAUCAAUGUUCAACCACCACCAUGUGUGAAGCCCCUUUUUCCAAAUUAAACUUACUCUAGAAUCAUGAAUUGAAGAUUAUUCAGUCAUGGCACUUUACACCCCAAACGAGCAAAAGUAACAAGUUAAUACCCUCCCUGAGUAUUUACAUCAUCUUAUCACCUGGUUUAAAUGGAGUAAAUACCUAUAUUUCAAUCAUCUAGGAAAUAAAAAGGUUACUGAAGAUCCAAUACACUAGUAUUUCAUACCUGUGCAGUAAAGUCAGUGGGAAGAUUACAGUAGAAAAGGAGGAAGUUCUACUGUUGUAAAAAUUAGACCACUUUUGUAGCUGACUCACAUAGAGGAAAAACAGAAAAUGAUUAAAGUUCAUGAAAAAAAAACUAUACUUUUCUGUUCUACAAAGCAUACCUUUGAAUUCCCUUUCCAACUGAGGUAUCACAGCUGGGUUUAGCAAACUCAUCUCUUCUGACCUUGUAAAACUAAAUUGUCAUAAAGAUUCUGAUUAUACAUAAGUCAUCGUUACUAAUACUCAUCAUGUACUUUCAAAUGUAAAAAGUUCUAGAAAUGCCCAAAUAAAAAAAAAUUCCAGAAUUGAAUUUAGCAUGGUCAACUAAUUUUUACUUUAUGUGCUUUUUUGCUGAUCAUCACAGACUGCUAAAAUUCAUGGUGUUUGGUAUAUAUGUGUGUAUACAACCAUACUAUCUACAUACAUACACAUGUACAUAUAUAGAUUCUAAACCAAAGGUUCAUAUGAGCAUCACCUAUCAAAAGAAAAAUCUUUAUGUGAUGAGAGAAUGAAUACAAUCUGACACCAAUUUGGUUGAUAUACCCCUUUUGAUAUAUUAAUUCUACUCUAAAAUUCUUUUUUAUUUUAUCAAGUCUAAUGCUAUUAUUUAUCAAGAAUUAGUAAAGGAAGAUAAAUAUUAAAAAAUUAAAAUAUUAAGUUGGGUAACUUUAAAAAUAGUUAUUUAAAUUUUCUAAGAUUCAACCUAAGUUCUUGGUGGCCUUCAAUAUAAAUUUUAAGUACUUAAUUUAUGUAGUUUUAAAUUAUGUAGAGAAAAAAUUAAUAUUGGUGUGAGGUCUGUGUUUAAAAAAAUUCUGUUUUUCAGGAUUUCAUUUCAAAUUUACUAUAAUAAACACAUGGAUAUUAAAAUAAAUGUAUAACAAAAUAAAAGUAAAUAGUUAAUACUUUUUACAACAGAAAAAUACUAGAAUAUAAAGUUGUCUUGAGAAAGUCUUUUUUUAUGUGAAGUCCUAUAUUCAUGAAAUGGACAUGAUCUUACAAAUACACAUGAAAAUAACAACUAUCAUUUGUAGAAUCCUCAGCAUUUACAAAAUACUUUUUCACACAUUAUCUCAUUUACUGUAAAGAAUUUCUUAACUAAAUAAUUCUAUUAUCUAUAAGAGUAUAAUGCAGAUGUUUACUCUAAAAUUAAAGUACAAGUAUCCAAACUGUACCUACAUUCUUUCAACUAAGAGGAUAGAAAAUUGUUUUCUGAAUUGUUGUUAUCACAAAAUGGUAUCUAUCAUUUUAAAAUUAUGAUUUGAAAAAUAAAAAUUCCCUAAAAAUUUUUAAGUUUUUUAGAGUUUUCCUCAGAAUGUAGAUUCUAGCUAAGCAUUAAAGUUUAAAAAAUGUCUAUCUGAAAUCUCUGAAUCAUUCUAAAAUGAGAAAACAAUGUAGCUUACCAAUGUUAGGCUUUUUAUUUCAACCUUGGUUUUAACAGAAAUCUGGUGACACUUUAAUUACAUAU
rnacentral:lncRNA from 10 species